rnacentral:rRNA from 1 species
GACGAACGCUGGCGGCGUGCUUAACACAUGCAAGUCGAACGGAAAGGCCCUGCUUUUGUGGGGUGCUCGAGUGGCGAACGGGUGAGUAACACGUGAGUAACCUGCCCUUGACUUUGGGAUAACCUCAGGAAACUGGGGCUAAUACCGGAUAGGAGCUCCUGCUGCAUGGUGGGGGUUGGAAAGUUUCGGCGGUUGGGGAUGGACUCGCGGCUUAUCAGCUUGUUGGUGGGGUAGUGGCUUACCAAGGCUUUGACGGGUAGCCGGCCUGAGAGGGUGACCGGCCACAUUGGGACUGAGAUACGGCCCAGACUCCUACGGGAGGCAGCAGUGGGGAAUAUUGCACAAUGGGCGGAAGCCUGAUGCAGCAACGCCGCGUGCGGGAUGACGGCCUUCGGGUUGUAAACCGCUUUCGCCUGUGACGAAGCGUGAGUGACGGUAAUGGGUGAAGAAGCACCGGCUAACUACGUGCCAGCAGCCGCGGUGAUACGUAGGGUGCGAGCGUUGUCCGGAUUUAUUGGGCGUAAAGGGCUCGUAGGUGGUUGAUCGCGUCGGAAGUGUAAUCUUGGGGCUUAACCCUGAGCGUGCUUUCGAUACGGGUUGACUUGAGGAAGGUAGGGGAGAAUGGAAUUCCUGGUGGAGCGGUGGAAUGCGCAGAUAUCAGGAGGAACACCAGUGGCGAAGGCGGUUCUCUGGGCCUUUCCUGACGCUGAGGAGCGAAAGCGUGGGGAGCGAACAGGCUUAGAUACCCUGGUAGUCCACGCUGUAAACGGUGGGUACUAGGUGUGGGGUCCAUUCCACGGGUUCCGUGCCGUAGCUAACGCCUUAAGUACCCCGCCUGGGGAGUACGGCCGCAAGGCUAAAACUCAAAGGAAUUGACGGGGCCCCGCACAAGCGGCGGAGCAUGCGGAUUAAUUCGAUGCAACGCGUAGAACCUUACCUGGGUUUGACAUGGAUCGGGAGUGCUCAGAGAUGGGUGUGCCUCUUUUGGGGUCGGUUCACAGGUGGUGCAUGGCUGUCGUCAGCUCGUGUCGUGAGAUGUUGGGUUAAGUCCCGCAACGAGCGCAACCCUUGUUCACUGUUGCCAGCACGUUAUGGUGGGGACUCAGUGGAGACCGCCGGGGUCAACUCGGAGGAAGGUGGGGAUGACGUCAAGUCAUCAUGCCCCUUAUGUCCAGGGCUUCACGCAUGCUACAAUGGCUGGUACAGAGAGUGGCGAGCCUGUGAGGGUGAGCGAAUCUCGGAAAGCCGGUCUCAGUUCGGAUUGGGGUCUGCAACUCGACCUCACGAAGUCGGAGUCGCUAGUAAUCGCAGAUCAGCAACGCUGCGGUGAAUACGUUCCCGGGGCU